GUAUUGGUUGCUUAAAGGUGUC
rnacentral:siRNA from 1 species